GACGUAGGGUCCAAGCGUUGUCCGGAUUUACUGGGCGUAAAGAGCGCGUAGGCGGUCUGUUAAGUGUGAAGUGAAAUCUCCAGGGCUCAACCCGGAAACUGCUUCGCAUACUGGCAGACUUGAGGAAUGCAGAGGUUUGUGGAAUUCCCGGUGUAACGGUGAAAUGUGUUGAUAUCGGGAGGAACACCCAUGGCGAAGGCAGCAAACUGGGCAUUAUCUGACGCUGAGGCGCGAAGGCUGGGGGUAGCGAACAGG
rnacentral:rRNA from 1 species